rnacentral:sRNA from 1 species
GCCAGGCAUGGUGGCACAUGCCUGUAAUUCCUGCAGCUUGGGAGGCUGAGAUAGGAGGAUCACAAAUUCAAAGCCAGUCUCAGCAAAAGUGAGUCACUAAGCAACUCAGUGAGAUCCUGUCUUGA